rnacentral:rRNA from 1 species
UACGUAGGGGGGCGAGCGUUGUCCGGAUUUAUUGGGCGUAAAGAGCUCGUAGGCGGUUUGGUAAGUUGGAUGUGAAAUCUCCAGGCUCAACUUGGAGGGGUCAUUCGAUACUGCCAUGACUAGAGUUCGGUAGGGGAGUGUGGAAUUCCUGGUGGAGCGGUGAAAUGCGCAGAUAUCAGGAGGAACACCCGUAGGCGAAGGCGGCUUCCUGGGCCGCACCUGACGCUGAGGCGCGAAAGGCGUGGGGAGCGAACGGG